rnacentral:rRNA from 1 species
CGAUGGUAGUGUAUUGGACUACCAUGGCAGUCACGGGUAACGGAGAAUUAGGGUUCGAUUCCGGAGAGGGGAGCCUGAGAAACGGCUACCACAUCUACGGAAGGCAGCAGGCGCGUAAAUUACCCAAUCCUGAUUCAGGGAGGUAGUGACAAGAAAUAACAACUCGGGGCCUCACGGCUUACGAGAUUGCAAUGAGAACAAUUUAAAUCUCUUAGCGAGGAACAAUUGGAGGGCAAGUCUGGUGCCAGCAGCCGCGGUAAUUCCAGCUCCAAUAGCGUAUAUUAAAGUUGUUGCAGUUAAAAAGCUCGUAGUUGAAUUUCUGAUUAUGGAUGUAGCGGUUUCCGUUACAUUUGUAGUCAUCCACAUGAGAACCUUUCUCGGCCUUCACUGGUCGGUUGGGGGAUCAUGUACUUUACUUUGUAAAAAAUCUAGAGUGUUUCAGGCAGGCGUUUGCAUGAAUACACAAGCAUGGAAUAAUAGGAAUAGGAC